rnacentral:rRNA from 1 species
AUGAACGCUGGCGGCGUGCCUAAUACAUGCAAGUCGAGCGAACGGACGAGAAGCUUGCUUCUCUGAUGUUAGCGGCGGACGGGUGAGUAACACGUGGAUAACCUACCUAUAAGACUGGGAUAACUUCGGGAAACCGGAGCUAAUACCGGAUAAUAUUUUGAACCGCAUGGUUCAAAAGUAAAAGACGGUCUUUCUGUCACUUAUAGAUGGAUCCGCGCUGCAUUAGCUAGUUGGUAAGGUAACGGCUUACCAAGGCAACGAUGCAUAGCCGACCUGAGAGGGUGAUCGGCCACACUGGAACUGAGACACGGUCCAGACUCCUACGGGAGGCAGCAGUAGGGAAUCUUCCGCAAUGGGCGAAAGCCUGACGGAGCAACGCCGCGUGAGUGAUGAAGGUCUUCGGAUCGUAAAACUCUGUUAUUAGGGAAGAACAUAUGUGUAAGUAACUGUGCACAUCUUGACGGUACCUAAUCAGAAAGCCACGGCUAACUACGUG